AUUGAACGCUGGCGGCAGGCCUAACACAUGCAAGUCGAGCGGAGCGGCGGACGGGUGAGUAAUGCCUAGGAAUCUGCCUGGUAGUGGGGGAUAACGACCGGAAAAGGGCGCUAAUACCGCAUAAUAUCAGAUGAGCCUAGGUCGGCUUGGCUGGUUGGGGGGGUAAAGGCGUACCAAGGCGACGAUCCGUAACUGGUCUGAGAGGAUGUUGAGGCAAACUGGAACGGGGACACGGUCCAGACUCCGACGGGGGCCAGCAGUGGGGAUUAUUGGACAAUGGGCGAAGUCCGGAUGCAGCCCUGCGGGUGGUGGAAAGAAGGUCUUCGGAUUUUAAACCACGUUGAGUUGGGAGACGGUACCAACAGAAUAAGCACCGGCUAACUUCGUGCCAGCAGCCGCGGUAAUAC
rnacentral:rRNA from 1 species